CUAUGAUGCCCCACUGAGUGAGGCUGGGGACCUCACUGAGAAGUAUUUUGCUCUGCGAAACAUUAUCCAGAAG
rnacentral:sRNA from 1 species